rnacentral:rRNA from 1 species
UACAGAGGGUGCAAGCGUUGUUCGGAAUUAUUGGGCGUAAAGCGCGUGUAGGCGGCAGUGCAAGUCGGGUGUGAAAGCCCCCGGCUCAACUGGGGAGGGUCAUUCGAUACUGUUCGACUCGAAGGCAGGAGAGGGAAGUGGAAUUCCCGGUGUAGUGGUGAAAUGCGUAGAUAUCGGGAGGAACACCAGUGGCGAAGGCGGCCACCUGGACUGCACCUGACGCUGACACGCGAAAGCUAGGGGAGCGAACGGG